AUGCUCUUGUGGCUGAAUGGUAGCAAGUUCACGCAGCAAUGUUUCAACAUCAAGUGUCAAGCCUUACUUUAAUUUUCCUAAAAGCAUGAAAUGCAUCUACUGCCAUUCAUUGAAGACUGGUUUGGAUUUCUCGCUGACCACAAGCUGCCAUUUUCAUAACAUUCUGGAACCUUGAGGGUUUAUGACAUAGUUAGCUCCUCUAGUAAUGUAAUAAGAUCUCUAUGAUCGUAGCCAACUAAACUCAACUACACGAUGAGUUAAGCGGCGACUAGUGUGGGCGAACUAGAGCUCCGACGUCACAUACAUUUUUGACAUUUUAUAUAAACGACUUAUUUCAGCACCCAAAGAAUAGCGCACAAUUACACAUAACCGUGUCGUGGUAAACGUUAGUUCCAGACUAUUCUUUGGGGGCUGAAAUCCAGUCGGCCUAUUAUAUGCUACUCAACUUCAUCGUAAAUAGUAUAGUUGGGUUUAAUCGGCUAUAUAAUCGUGGAGUUGAGAAUUCUCAGCUAGCUAGUUUGCGUUAUUUCGCUGUAGUAGCCAGUAUUAUGCUAACUUGCUAGCUAGCCGUUUAUGACUGAAAUACUAACUCGUCUCGAGUCUCUACCACUCUAGCUACUGUGAAGCUAUGAAUAACUGGCAAAGCACAAACAUAACGUUAGCCUGGCAGCAUGCUGUGCAGCUAUCUAGCUAGCUACCUCCCUGGCAGUUAAUGUAUAGCUAGCUAAAGUUACCAUAAAUUAACCAGAGUAACAACAAUAGAUAAUGCCAGCUAGCUAAACGUUCUUGGAGUGAAACGUCAGCAAGCGAUCUCGUAAUAAAUUACAGUGGCUAACUAUAUGUAAAACGUACUUAUUUUCCCCUUCAAACAACAGAAAUGACUCAAAUGCAGGUGGUGCGUUCAUAUUUGAUAACUACCUAGCGAUAGACAAGGGUGCAAAAACUAAGAAACAGCGAACACACACCGCAGAGUACUUGAAUGAGCGAGAAGAUCCUGACUGCAGCGUGCAGGCUCAAUGUUGGCGGAGUCAAACGGGUUUAAGCCGUCCGGUCUCUUUCAUGGUCACCCAAGUUGAGGUAAACGUCAAAGAUGUCAACGAAAUCGAAUCUUAAUUGAACCAACCCUACAAGAAUAAAACUAUAAACCAUGGAAAAACAUUAUCUGUUCUGGUCCCCUGGACAUUGGAGGACUUUUGAAGUGGAUGAUGUUCAGGGCUUACCAAAGGUUUCUCAAACAACUGUGAGGUGUUUGUUUUGAUGUACGCUCUGUACAUUGCAAUGGAAGCACAGUGGGAUUUCACUUAGGAUGAUGUAGAAGACACCCCCCCCACCACCACAAGAAGUCACAUCAUUCAGCUCUGCAGGACCAGACUAUACUGAAAACAAAAUGCACGGCAAACUGGGAGCUGUGAACUGGGAAGCAGAUGUUCUUCUAAGGGACACCCUAGAGGGAGCAAGGUGGUGCAAACUCCAAACAUUUUAAAGGCACUGUUUCCUUCCCCAGUGUAGUUGGGAUGGACGGGGAAGACCGCAUUACAACMCUUAAAGAACUACGGUUGUAUGAUGGCCUGGAUAAAGAGGACAAUAUUCUCCUCAAGGAACCAUUCAUGUUACAGAGAGAUUAGGAGACGUGGAGGCAGUUGACGACAAGAAAAUAACUGUCUUUGCCUCUUUUGAGGAGCAGGAGUGAAGCCCUUUUUGAGUGGUCAAACCUUGUUUUUGUCAGCUUUGUCAAUUGUUAAAUGUGUUAUGUUGUUUAGUAAAGAUGAUGUAGUAGUCA